AAAAAGUAUAUAGCCAGCAUGUGAAGCCCAUUUCUUUUUAAACUUGCUUGAUCUAUCUACUUUCAAACCAAUAUGGGAUGAUAAUAAAUUGGGUUCAAAUAAGGAGGUCUGGUCUGCUUUGGUGGCCGACAGCUUAAACUAGCAGCCUUGCCUUCAACCACAAAACUCUUGAGAUCGAGAAAUGCUGACUUCCACCGGUUGGCUGGCGGCGAUAUGGGGCCACGGCCGUGUGUGGUAGUGGCCGCCAGCCGGCCCCUCAGACUUUAGCAUUAUUCUAUGCUUGCCUUUUAAUCUAGAAUAGGUAGACGAUUGCGAUCACCAGCCACCAGGUUCUCAAUCAUCAACAGGACAUGCAGAUAAGCUGUUUGACGAUUUGCCUCGAGUUUAUGACCAAACUUAGCAAAUGGGUAUUGGCCACUUAGACAAGUUAACCACUCAAAAUUUAAUUAAUGAACUCCGAUGCUUGUCUUGGAGUGGAUGACCAGUCUGGAAAGCUGGCAAGCCAUAGUAUCGGGGCCCGGGGGGACCUCUUCCGCCUCCGGUCGACUUUUCAGUUCAGAAUGUGGGUGGCCAGUAGCCACACAUAUAAGUUCCUCAGUUUCAUCUGGGGUAACUUGGAAUCUGCAGGAUUGACAGGUUUUCCCAGUCAUCUCUCCAAUUAACACUGCGUAUAUAUCUGUCCACACUCAAUCCACUCCGUGAAUUAAUGAUCAAGUUGCACACCCAAACAAAGGAUUCUACAAAAAGCACUGACAGAAUCUUCUUUGGAGUCCAGCUCCAAGGAAUGAAGGGUGCAUGAACUUGUCAUCCAUUCCAGGGAAGGGAUGAUGCUUAAACGCUGAUAAAAUGCAUUUCAACCAAUAGCCUCAAAGUGGAUCCUAAUUGCAUCAAUUUAUUUUUUUAAUAAAUAAAAGCUAAAACGUUUUAAACACCGGGUUCGCAUCCGCCCCCCACAGGUUUGCCCCCCAAAAACAUCUCACGGACUCACAGCGCGCCGCGUGUCCUCCCACACGCGAAUUAGACUCUCUCCUGCGGUUAACUCACUUCGCCCAAAAGGUCAUCCCCUCUCAGACUUUCACUCUUCUCUCUCUCUUGAAUUUCAUCCUCACUUGAACUUUCGACCUUCCGUUCUCACUACUGAAACCGGCCGGAGCUUGCCCCCUUCGAGUUCCAUUAGUCGACGCCGACGAUCGUUCCGGCAGAUUUAUUUAACGAAGGCUCAUCUGAUCCGAUUGCCAAAGGCCUUGCUCCCCUGGGAUCAUAGUACAAGUGGGUAAGACUUUGGUUAACUCGUUGCAAAGGCCAAAGGCCUCGCUCUUGGCAAGAGCGGAACUCGAAGGGGGGCAAGCUUCGGCGGGUUUCAGAUCUGAGAACGGAAGGUAGAAAAUCAGAAAAAACAAAAAACAACGUAAGAAAUGAGAAAAAAUAGAUAUGAAAACUGACAAUAAAUCUGCCGGAAUGAUCAUCGGCGUUGAUCGACGGAACUUGAAGGGGGGCGUGCUGAGAACGAAAGGUCAGGUUCAAGUGAGGUUAAAAUUCGAAAGAGAGAGAGGAGUGAGAAUCUGAGAGGGGAUGACCUUUUGGGCGAAGUGGGUUGGUUAGCUCCGCACAAGAGAGUCUAAUUCAUGUGUGGGAGGACACGCGGCGCUCUGUGAGUCCGUGGGAUGUUUUUGGGGGGCAAACCUGUGGGGGGCAGAUGCGAACCCUUAAACACCACAUCUGCAUCGUCUGUAGUCUCUACCAAACAGAUUUCUCACAGAAACGUUUCAAAACCUCUCAUUCUAAAAAAGUGAGAAAUGCCACUGCCCUUGUUUGCAAGGAAAAGGACAUAAAAAAGAAAACAACAAAAAAAAAAAGUAUGAGAUAAGAAGUAUUUUCUUUUAUGAGAUAUGGAAGCCAGUUUAGCUUUGAUCUUUUCAUUCUCCACUCUUCUUUUUUGGUUUUUUCCACCUUUUUAGGGUCCAUUUAGUUUGUAGAAAUUCGAUUUUGGAGGAAAUGGAUUCCGAUUCUGGGGAUUCUGAGUUGAUUUUUGAAUGGAAAAAUGUUAAUUUUGUUAA